rnacentral:rRNA from 1 species
AUUGAACGCUGGCGGCAGGCCUAACACACGCAAGUCGAACGGCAGCGGGGGAUAGCUUGCUAUCCUGCCGGCGAGUGGCGGACGGGUGAGUAAUGCAUGGGGAGCUGCCCAGUCGAGGGGGAUAACAACUGGAAACGGUUGCUAAUACCGCAUACGCCCUUUGGGGGAAAGGUGGGGAACUUCGGUCCUACCGCGAUUGGAUGCGCCCAUGUGGGAUUAGCUAGUUGGUGAGGUAACGGCUCACCAAGGCGACGAUCUCUAGCUGGUCUGAGAGGAUGACCAGCCACACUGGAACUGAGACACGGUCCAGACUCCUACGGGAGGCAGCAGUGGGGAAUAUUGCACAAUGGGGGAAACCCUGAUGCAGCCAUGCCGCGUGUGUGAAGAAGGCCUUCGGGUUGUAAAGCACUUUCAGUCAGGAGGAAGGGGUGAUGGCUAAUAUCCAUCAUCAUUGACGUUACUGACAGAAGAAGCACCGGCUAACUCCGUGCCAGCAGCCGCCGUAA